GCUUACCAUGCAGUCGAGCGGAAGGCCCUUCGGGGUACUCGAGCGGCGAACGGGUGAGUAACACGUGAGCAACCUGCCCUAGGCUUUGGGAUAACCCUCGGAAACGGGGGCUAAUACCGAAUAUUACCUCCUGUCGCAUGGUGGGGGGUGGAAAGUUUUUCGGCCUGGGAUGGGCUCGCGGCCUAUCAGCUUGUUGGUGGGGUGAUGGCCUACCAAGGCGACGACGGGUAGCCGGCCUGAGAGGGCGACCGGCCACACUGGGACUGAGACACGGCCCAGACUCCUACGGGAGGCAGCAGUGGGGAAUAUUGCACAAUGGGCGGAAGCCUGAUGCAGCGACGCCGCGUGAGGGAUGACGGCCUUCUGGUUGUAAACCUCUUUCAGCAGGGACGAAGCGUAAGUGACGGUACCUGCAGAAGAAGCACCGGCCAACUACGUGCCAGCAGCCGCGGUAAGACGUAGGGUGCGAGCGUUGUCCGGAUUUAUUGGGCGUAAAGAGCUCGUAGGCGGCUUGUCGCGUCGACCGUGAAAACUUGGGGCUCAACCCCAAGCCUGCGGUCGAUACGGGCAGGCUAGAGUUCGGUAGGGGAGACUGGAAUUCCUGGUGUAGCGGUGAAAUGCGCAGAUAUCANGAGGAACACCGGUGGCGAAGGCGGGUCUCUGGGGCCGAUACUGACGCUUGAGGAGCGAAAGCGUGGGGGAGCGAACAGGAUUUAGAUACCCUGGGUAGUUCCACGCUGUAAACGUUGGGCGCUAAGUGUGGGGGGGCCUCUUCUGGUUCUUCUGUUGUCUCAGCUAACGCAUUAAUGCGCCCCGCCUCGGGGGAGUACGGGUCGCAAGGCUAAAACUCAAAUGAAUUGACGGGGGGCCUGCACACGCGGCGGGAGCAUGUGGAUUAAUUCUAUUGCACUGCGANAUCCUUACCUGGGGUUGACAUGAACGUAUAACUUACAAAUAUGUAAGUCCUUUCUGUGUCGGUCA
rnacentral:rRNA from 1 species